CAUUCGAAACUGGCAGGCUUGAGUCUUGUAGAGGGGGGUAGAAUUCCAGGUGUAGCGGUGAAAUGCGUAGAGAUCUGGAGGAAUACCGGUGGCGAAGGCGGCCCCCUGGACAAAGACUGACGCUCAGGUGCGAAAGCGUGGGGAGCAAACAGGAUUAGAUACCCUGGUAGUCCACGCCGUAAACGAUGUCUACUUGGAGGUUGUGCCCUUGAGGCGUGGCUUCCGGAGCUAACGCGUUAAGUAGACCGCCUGGGGAGUACGGCCGCAAGGUUAAAACUCAAAUGAAUUGACGGGGGCCCGCACAAGCGGUGGAGCAUGUGGUUUAAUUCGAUGCAACGCGAAGAACCUUACCUGGUCUUGACAUCCACAGAAGAAUCCAGAGAUGGAUUUGUGCCUUCGGGAACUGUGAGACAGGUGCUGCAUGGCUGUCGUCAGCUCGUGUUGUGAAAUGUUGGGUUAAGUCCCGCAACGAGCGCAAC
rnacentral:rRNA from 1 species